rnacentral:rRNA from 1 species
GAUGAACGCUGGCGGCGUGCCUAAUACAUGCAAGUCGAGCGAACAGACGAGGAGCUUGUUCCUCUGACGUUAGCGGCGGACGGGUGAGUAACACGUGGAUAACCUACCUAUAAGACUGGGAUAACUUCGGGAAACCGGAGCUAAUACCGGAUAAUAUAUUGAACCGCAGGGUUCAAUAGUGAAAGACGGUUUUGCUGUCACUUAUAGAUGGAUCCGCGCCGCAUUAGCUAGUUGGUAAGGUAACGGCUUACCAAGGCGACGAUGCGUAGCCGACCUGAGAGGGUGAUCGGCCACACUGGAACUGAGACACGGUCCAGACUCCUACGGGAGGCAGCAGUAGGGAAUCUUCCGCAAUGGGCGAAAGCCUGACGGAGCAACGCCGCGUGAGUGAUGAAGGUCUUCGGAUCGUAAAACUCUGUUAUUAGGGAAGAACAAAUGUGUAAGUAACUAUGCACGUCUUGACGGUACCUAAUCAGAAAGCCCCGGCUAACUACGUG